CGUGCAGCCGGGAAUGCAAGUCAGAUGUGAAAUCCAUGGGCUUAACCCAUGAACUGCAUUUGAAACUGUAUUUCUUGAGUACUGGAGAGGCAAUCGGAAUUCCUAGUGUAGCGGUGAAAUGCGUAGAUAUUAGGAGGAACACCAGUGGCGAAGGCGGAUUGCUGGACAGCAACUGACGGCGAGGCGCGAAAGUGUGGGGAGCAAACA
rnacentral:rRNA from 1 species